GCGGGAGAUCGCGGGGCGUCGCCUCCGGGCGCUCGGUGACGUCGUGCUGCCGUCCCGCCACUGGGAAUCAGUGAAGGGUUUGACAUGUCUAUCUUUCAACAUUCAGAAGCAAGGAAUGAGAUGAAGGUGAAGAAAGAUACAGAAAAGAAUAUACAGCAAAAUAAAUUCAACUGUAUUUGCAAAGCACCAUAACAGGUACUACAGAUUGGUUCCAGCUGUUAAUCUGGGCAAAGCCUGCUCACAAGUGGUCCUACAGAAUAAAAAUCCAGCUCAACAGUGGCCCACAGGAUUCUCACUUUAAUCAGCAUUUUGCUGAAAUGUUCUUGGAAAAGUUUAUAACAAUUCUCUAUUCAGCAUGUAUAAACUGUAUUUUUUUGUCUUUGAAUGUUGAGCAAUAUUUUGAAAGUGUGCUAACUUAAAGUUACUUUUUCCAGGGACAUUUUAUGUCAUCAAAAUGUUCUUCAGUUCAAAUUUCAAGGCCUUUCAACCAGGCACAUCUCAAAGAAAAGCUUGUAAAAAUUUCUUGACGUGAGAAAAUGAAAAUGCUGUCCUGUAGUUCCAUUCUUGGAAAUGCCUAAUGGCUCUGCUUGAGAUCAAACUAAAAGUGUUUGAUACAGACAUGGCAGGUUUUAGUCCAGGUCGUAGAGUUCAAUAAAAUUUAAAAAUUUAAGCAGUAGUUGGGGUACCAGCUGAGCUUAUCUCAUGCUUUAAUCACCUUCUUAUUUAUAAGUUACGUAGUUCUCUCAUCUCAAAUAAUUGUGCAAUUUUCAGCUAUUAAAUUGCAUUGUUGACUGUAGCUCCUGGGGUCUGUUAGACAUAGAGCACAAAGUGGCAUUGAUUCUGCUCACUUGUUUUUCAUUAUCCUGUAGAAACUGAAAGUUGUUCCCUAAGAAGAAUGAAGGUCAAAUUUUCUAAUUAAAAGAAGAUUUGAUUUUUUUGAAAUAGGGAUGGAGACUGAGAACAGUCUGCAAGAUAUAUUGAGCUCCAAAGAGUUUCAGUUUAAUCUAGUUUAAUUUAGUUUUAAUUGCCCUGAAUACCAAACUUGUCUUAGAAGUCUAGGAAGUCCUUUGUUUUUCUUUUUGUGUCUUCCA